AUGGCGGAGGCUGUUGUCGGGCAGCUGGUGGUGACGCUCGGUGGGGCACUGGCGAAAGAGGCGGCGACCUACGGCGGGGCGCUGCUGUGCAAGGAAGCUGCGGCCCUGAGGGGUCUCUUCGCCAAGAUCCGCCAGUCCAAGGCGGAGCUGGAGAGCAUGCAAGCCUACCUGCAGGAGGCAGAGCGGUUCAAGGACACCGACAAGACCACCGCUAUCUUCGUCGGCGAGGUCAGGGGCCUGGCCUUCCAGAUCGAGGACGUCGUCGACGAGUUCACCUACAAGCUGGAGGACUGCAAGCACGGAGGGUUCGGCGGCAAGAUGAAGAAGCGGCUCAAGCAUAUCAAGACCUGGCGCCGCCUGGCAGCCAAGCUCCAAGAAAUCGAAGCCCAGCUGCAGGAUGCUAAUCGGAGGAAGAGGGAUUACGCCGUCACCGGCAGAUCUGCUUCUGCUGCCAGAUCGACAAAUCAAGGUCAAGCUUUGCACUUCACCAGGGACGAGGACCUUGUGGGGAUCGAGGAGAACAAAGAGAGGUUGAUACGGUGGCUGACCGGCGGCUCUGGCGGUGGUGAUGGUCCGGAACUGAGCAGCAACAAAGUCACCAUGGUGUGGGGGAUGCCUGGUGUUGGUAAAACCACUCUUGUUGAUCAUGUGUACAACACCGUGAAAGAGGACUUCGACGCUGCGGCGUGGGUAACUGUGUCCGAGAGUUACCGUACCGAGGAUGUCCUGAAGAAGAUCGCCGCCCAGUUCGGCAUCACAGUCGACGUCGCCAACACUGAGAUGAGAGGUGUAGCAAGGUCCAUCCAGAACUGCCUUCAAGGUAAAAGGUACAUCUUGGUCCUGGAUGAUGUUUGGGCAGAGCGCUUGUGGUUGGAGAUAAGGGAUGUCUUCCCAACAUCUAACAGUACCGGCCGAGUUGUUAUGACAUCAAGAAAGCAGACAGUGUUGGCAACUAGGGAGUCUGCAUAUGAAAUUCACUUGAAACCACUACAAGCACAUCACUCCUGGCUGUUGUUUUGCAAAGGAGCCUUUGAGGAUGCUGAUGACAAAGAGGGCCCGUUGGAGUUGCAGAAAUUGGCUUGGAAGUUCAUAGCAAAGUGUCAAGGUUUGCCUAUUGCUAUUACAUGCAUUGGCCGCCUACUCUCCCGGAAACUCCCAACUUCCGCUGAAUGGGAGGAUGUGUACAGGGGUUUGGAUUCACAGUUGGUGAAAGAUGUGAUCCCUGAUGCUCAUUUGAUCCUAAAGGUCAGCUUGGAGGACCUUCCGUUUGAUUUGAAGAAUUGUUUCCUACACUGUGCAUUGUCCCCAGAAGAUUAUAUAUUAAAGAGGAGGAAGACAAUGAGACAGUGGAUCACAGCAGGGUUUAUCACGGAAAAAGAUGAGAGCAAAACAUUGGAGGAAGUGGCAGAGGGAUAUUUGGCCGAGCUUGUGAACCGAAGCCUACUGCAGGUAGUGGAAAGGAAUUUUGCCGGACGACUGAAACAAUGUCGGAUGCAUGAUGUCAUCCGGCUUCUUGCCCUCAACAAAGCCAAGGAGGAAUGCUUUGGUAAUGUUUAUAAUGGCUCUGGUGGUACUGGGGUAUUCUCUAUAGAGGGUGCACGUCGCAUAUCAGUCCUGGGAGGAAACAUUGAACAACUGAGCCUAUCUGGUGCAACACAGCUACGUGCACUCCAUGUUUUCGAGAGCUAUAUUGAUAUUGAUUUGCUGAAGCCGAUCCUAACAUCUUCGAGUUUGCUUUCGACAUUGGAUCUGCAAGGUACUCAUAUCAAAAUGCUCCCCAAUGAGGUAUUUGACUUGUUUAAUCUCCGUUAUUUGGGUCUUAGAGAUACCAAGAUCGAAAGCAUGCCUGCAGCAGUGGGGAGGUUACAAAAUUUACAAGUCUUGGAUGCUUAUGAUUCUAAACUGACGUACUUGCCAAAUAGUGUUGUAAAACUUCAAAAGUUGAGAUACCUCUAUGCUGGUACUUCGAAGGACUCCAUACGUGGAGUCAAGGUGCCUAAGGGCAUGCAGCACUUGGCAGGACUGCAUGCUCUUCAGUCCGUCAGAGCCACUCCAGAGUUUCUGCAUGAAGCUGCAGCUUUGACAGAGCUAAGAACAUUCGAUGUGUGCAACGUUCAGAGUGAACACUCUGCUUACUUGAGCAAUGCUAUCACCAAAAUGAGUCAUCUUGUUCAUCUCGAAAUUGAUGCUGCAGCUGAGAAUGAGGUGUUGCGGCUGGAAGGGCUACAUUUACCUCAGACCCUUUCUUGGCUUUCUUUACGAGGGCAGCUAGAAAAAACAUCCAUGCCCCAGCUUUUCUCUUCUUUGUCACACCUUAAUAGCCUCACUCGGUUGCAACUGGAAUUCUCCAAUAUUGAUGAGGAAGCCUUUUCCUGUCUGCACGUGUUACAUGGUCUACGCUCUCUUCUGCUAAGAAAGGCUUUUGAAGGGAAGCGGUUGGAAUUUUACACAGGGUCCUUUCCAAAACUUCGGCGUCUAGGGAUAUGGGGCGCAGCACAGCUCAGCCAAGUUAGAAUAGAGAAGGGCGCGAUGCAAGACCUCGUUGAGCUAUGGUUCGGAGACUGUCCUGACCUAAGGUUUCUUCCUGAUGGCAUCGAACACCUUGCAGGCCUUGAGAAAUUAGUUCUGAUAGACACUUCAGAAGAGCUGAUAGAGAAGCUCCGGCAGGAGAGAGAUUCAGAUGAACUCAAAGAAGAUAUAGUGAAGAUUAGGCACAUAAGGAAUGUUACAGUUGCCCUGACGCAGAAAGGACUUGUCGAAAGGAUUAGGUGA
rnacentral:rRNA from 1 species